rnacentral:rRNA from 1 species
GAGAUUUCAUUCGCACUAGUGAUAGCUAGUUUCCCCGGAAAGAUAUAAAAGUGUCUGGAAAAAUAUAAUUUAUAAUAUGAACUAUUAUAUAUAUAUGCAUUUCACUAAUUUUUUUGAGGAUAAGCUCAAAAAAAAGUUAAGGAUUUUUUAGUUAAAUUUGCUGUAUAGGUUUAAAAUUGGCCAUUACAAGAGUUUUUUAUAAAAUAGCAAUUAUUAAUUUUAUAAAUAAAUAUAAUUAUAAGCUAACUUCUUACGGGGACAAGAACUUUAACUUGAAAUAAGUUUUAUGCCUAUGCUAGAAUGAGUAUUAAAACUUAAUUAUAGAAGAUUUAUUUAUAUUAUGUCUUCUUUAAAAAAAAUAAAAAAAAUUAAUUAAUUAGAAGGAACUCGGCAAAUUCAGUUGUUCCGCCUGUUUAUCAAAAACAUGGCUAUUUGACUAUACAAAUAUAGAGAGUCGAGCCUGCCC